GGAGGUGGGGAACUCCGUUACUUCUGGAUCUAGUGAGAUCCAUGAGUUGCAGGAUCAGCUCGCGAAGCUUACGGAUUUGGUUGCUCAGCAGGCUGCGGCAGCGCGACAGCAGAUGGACGCCGCGCGUCGAUAGGAAGACAGAAUGAAGAGGUUAGAGGAUUUACUAUGCGGCAGGCGACCGACAGAGAGAUUCCUGAUCCU
rnacentral:lncRNA from 1 species